rnacentral:rRNA from 1 species
AGAGUUUGAUCCUGGCUCAGAAUGAACGUUGGCGGCAUGGAUUAGGCAUGCAAGUCGAGCGAGAAGUGUAGCAAUACACGGAAAGCGGCGGAAGGGAGAGUAAUACGUGGGAAUCUGCCCUUAGACCUGGGAUAGCAGCGGGAAACUGCUGGUAAUACCAGAUAAUGUCUAUGGACCAAAGGUGUGAUUCCGUCUAGGGAUGACCCCACGUCCUAUUAGCUAGUUGGUAGGGUAAUGGCCUACCAGGGCGAUGAUGGGUAGCGGGUGUGAGAGCAUGACCCGCCUCACUGGGAAUGAAACACUGCCCAAACACCUACGGGUGGCUGCAGUUGAGAAUUUUCGGCAAUGGGCGCAAGCCCUGACCGAGCGAUGCCGCGUGCGGGAUGAAGGCCUUCGGGUUGUAAACCGCUGUCGAGGGGGAGCAACUUCCAUAGAGUUAUCUUUAUGGAUUGAGUGAUCCCUGGAGGAAGGACGGGCUAAGUUCGUGCCAGCAGCCGCGGUAAGACGAACCGUCCAAACGUUAUUCGGUAUCACUGGGCUUAAAGAGUUCGUAGGCGGCUAAACAGGUGAGGUGUGAAAGCCCUCGGCUCAACCGAGGAACUGCGCUUCAAACCGUUUAGCUAGAGGAAGACAGAGGUGAGCGGAACUGAUGGUGGAGCGGUGAAAUGCGUUGAUAUCAUCAGGAACACCGGUGGCGAAAGCGGCUCACUGGGUCUUUUCUGACGCUGAGGAACGAAAGCUAGGGGAGCGAAAAAGAUUCGAUACCCCGGUAGUCCUAGCCGUAAACG